CCCAAAAAUGUUAAGAACUUCAGUUCUAGUAGUUUUUGUCGUUCAGAGUCCUUUUUUGUCUCCAUUUCUCGCUAAAACGGCUCUCGCUCUGCCCACACACUACAAAUGUAUUGACCAGCUACUUUCACUAUACUUGGAUCCAGCUACUGAGCUCCAGAACACUACAAACCGACAUCAUAUUUCCAAAGAACCCUACGCCUUUGUGCUCAAUCUAUGCAAGUGAGACCAAUCUCAAGUAUAAUUAGGAAUGGCAACAGGGUGGGGAAGGGAUUGAGAUCUCUUCCCCAUCCUUAUCUGUAGUACAACGAACUUCUAUAAAUUAUGGAGUUUUAGUGGAAGGUAGUCUUUUAGACUAUUUGA
rnacentral:lncRNA from 1 species